UUUCCCUGAUGACUCCUUCUUAGUGCCACGUGUCUGGGCCACUGAACCCAAUGAUGGAACUGAGGAUCUGAGGAA
ensembl:snoRNA SNORD66 small nucleolar RNA, C/D box 66